GGUGACCUGGAGCGAAUCUCAGAAAUAACGUCUCAGUUCGGAUUGUAGUCUGCAACUCGACUACAUGAAGCUGGAAUCGCUAGUAAUCGCGGAUCAGAAUGCCGCGGUGAAUACGUUCCCGGGUCUUGUACACACCGCCCGUCACACCAUGGGAGUCGGGAAUGCCCGAAGCCAGUGACCCAAGCGAGAGCAGGGAGCUGUCGAAGGCAGGCCGGAUAACUGGGGUGAAGUCGUAACAAGGUACC
rnacentral:rRNA from 1 species